AUGCUUUAAAACACUAAAAUAGCAAUAACAAUUACUCCUGACUAAAGGAAAUCGGGAUAGUGUCUUCAGCCUUCCAAUUAUUGAUUCCGUCACCAAUUGUUGGGAAAAUCCAGCUAUCCAAGUCAUAAUCGUUAUCAGUAUCUUCCACAGCAUUGACAGUCUCGUCGUGAUUCGGCGGAGGAGCAGUGAUGACAUCAGGAGUCCCCGGAGGAUCAGAGGUAGCCACCUGUAUCUUUCCACUUCGAAUUCCGCUUUCAACAUGUUCACCAGUUAAUAUAAGUUCAAUGAAACCCGAUGAGGAGCUUCUCAAUAGAUGGCUGUAGAAUGGGCCGGUCAGUGUGCUCAUGAACAUGUCCACUAAUUCUCGAUCAGUCAUAGGGGGUUUGACUCUUC
rnacentral:lncRNA from 1 species